UACGUAGGGUGCAAGCGUUAAUCGGAAUUACUGGGCGUAAAGCGUGCGCAGGCGGUUUUGUAAGUCUGACGUGAAAUCCCCGGGCUCAACCUGGGAAUGGCGAUGAAGACUGCAAGGCUUGAAUCUGGCAGAGGGGGGUAGAAUUCCAGGUGUAGCAGUGAAAUGCGUAGAGAUGUGGAGGAACACCGAUGGCGAAGGCAGCCCCCUGGGUCAAGAUUGACGCUCAUGCACGAAAGCGUGGGGAGCAAACAGG
rnacentral:rRNA from 1 species